rnacentral:lncRNA from 1 species
AUUUAUAGGGCUAGGGUACUCAGAAAAUGAUAGGAAAGGUUUAGAAGUUAGCAAAUUUGUCCUACAAGACUUAAAAGUCAGAAAUUAAAGAGAAAAGGAAAGGGAUAUGCGGCAAGGAAAGGGAAAGGCAUUUAAUUGAAAAGGGAAUGUGAUUUGGUGCAAGAAAUUGGAAAGAAAAGCUCUCCCUUGCACGGCAAGGAAGAGAAAGGGAAAGGAGAGGUGCGGCAUCCCACUAGGGCUGGGAUUCAAGUCUUCUAGAAGUUCUUAUUUAGUGUCUUAAUAUGAUUAGGAGUCUUCUUUGUUGCUAGAACUUAGGAACUUUUAGGAUUAGGAAAGGUUAAAACCAAAGUAGGAAACAUUGGCUUAACAUUCCUUUUUCUUGUGGGAAUCCUUGUUCAACUAGGAAUCCUUCUUCAAUUAGGAAUCCUUGCAUCUUUAAGUCUUCAAUUUCGUCCAUCUCCCUUGCUCCAAGCAUGUGAUAUCCAUUCCAAGCCCAAAAUUGCUCCCAAAUGCUCUAAAAUGCACUUUCUUGCUACUUUGAUCCUUUGAACCUACAAACACAAGAAAAUAGCUUAAAAUACAUAAUUUAACUAAGAACUAACAACAUAAAUGCACAAGAACAAGCUAACUGAAGCGCAUAAAUAUGCUUCUAUCAAAUUCCCCCACACUUAGCUUUUGCUAGUCCUCGAGCAAAACCAAACAAACUAAACAUAACCUAGACCUUCCAACAUUUACCUCAGAGAUUUCCAGUGAAACAUGACAUGCCAAAGAUCACUACUCCCACAGAUUUUAGUCAUCCUUACCCUCGAGCAUACUUAAUCAUAGUCACCAUUCACUAGCUCACAUUUAAUCAAUUAAAACAACAUUUUGAAUGUAGUAACAUGCCUUAGAGAAUUCCCUCAAUUCCUUACUAGAUAUGCACUCAAUUUUCACUCAGAUUUUCUGACUACACACCCUACACUAGGUAUAUGUGAGAAGAUUGAUGUAAACAUGAAAACUAGUGCUCACAUAUGUUAUAACAAAGAAAGUAAUUUUCUGGAAUUAUUAAUGCAUGUAUAUAUAUGAUCUCAUGAAUGGAAUGCUACUACUUAGAAGUGAGAACCAUGGAUUCCAUAUGCUCAUACCAAUUCCAAACUCCACAGAUUGAAACACAUAACACCCAAAAUAGAAGUCAAAGGGUUGUAACGGGGCUAAGGUAUUGGCUAACAAGGAAAGGUAAGGGUAGACAAACAUUCUCAAAGCAAUAGCAAGCAAAGUAAUGAUUUUGACACUUAGAAUUCACUUUUGAAUGCAAAAAUCCACUUUAAACGCAAAGGGAAGGUUCACAAAACACUUAGGGCCAUAUUCAAUCUUUUGAACCCUGUCUUCAACAACCAACACUUGUGAGUUCAUUCUCACUUAUUUUCAACUCUUUUUCUUUCUUUUUUACACACUUUUUUUGUUUUUUUUUUUUUUGUUUCUUUUCAUACCCGUGCCCUACUUCUUUGGCACACAAAACACAUAUUUUGAAAUUUCUUCCCCCACACUUGUUUUCUGCACAAUGUUCAUCAAAAGAAAUUCCUUCUAAGUUAUGCUCCACUAUACUUCAAGAACAAGGGUAUGGAUUGUCCUAUUCUAGGCUACAUAGGGAUAAUGUGGCUAACAAAGAAAAUAGGAUAAAUAAGGCUCAAAGGGGUUAAACCUACAAAACAAAUCCAUGGGAUGAAGGCUUUUUGGCUUUGGUGGUACCUACUAAACAACUUCAUCUUGUUACGUGUUAUGCACUCAAUUUUAAGCUUUGAAUGAAAUGGGCAUGAGUUCUAGUAUUUGGAACUAAAGUGAUGAAACACAUUCUAACUAGCAACCAAUCACAGAAUAAUGAGAUCAUGCAACGACUUUAGAAAGAAAGAAAUCACAGAUUAAUAACUCUCCAAAUAAAGUUUUGGCUCAAGUCUCUCAGGGUUGUAGCGUUAGUUUGAGUUCCUUCCUUCAAGCAUGUUACAAAAACUGAUUUUUUUUCCUUUAUGAUUACAUGUGAAUUCGUAAACGUUAACUACAACCAAGCAUAAACCAAAGAGCAUAUCAAACUUCUACCCAUGUUUGUAACUUUCUUUAACAGUCAUGCAAUUAAAAACCAAAUCCUCAUCAUUGUGUUGGAAGGUACCCUAAAACACAAACACACAAAAACGACUCUAACACGACUCUUUUUGGGUUUUUCAAAUCUUUUUCUACUUUUUUUUUUCAAAUUUUCGUAUUUUUCCGUCAAGACACAUU